UACAGAGGGGGCAAGCGUUAUUCGGAAUUAUUGGGCGUAAAGGGCGCGUAGGCGGACUGCCAAGUCCGGGGUGAAAUCUUUCGGCUUAACCGGAAAAGGGCCUUGGAAACUGGCGGUCUCGAGGGAGGUAGGGGCCUGUGGAACUUCGGGUGGAGCGGUGAAAUGCGUUGAUAUCCGAAGGAACGCCGGUGGCGAAAGCGACGGGCUGGAUCUCUUCUGACGCUGAGGCGCGAAAGCCAGGGGAGCAAACGGG
rnacentral:rRNA from 1 species